rnacentral:ncRNA from 1 species
AUUCUCAGGGCAGGGCGCAAUUCCCUACCGGCGGUAAGUGUUAAGCAUAAGCCCGCGAGCGUUUGUUAUUAAAAGUGCGGUCAUAAAAGUUAGCGUUUUGUGAACGAUUUUAAAACAAAGUCAGCAGAUUUGGUGUAAAUCCAAAGCCGACAGUAAAAGUCUGGAUGAAAGAGAAUA